rnacentral:rRNA from 1 species
UACAGAGGUCCCAAGCGUUGUUCGGAUUCAUUGGGCGUAAAGGGUGCGUAGGCGGCGCGGUAAGUCGGGUGUGAAAUCUCGGGGCUUAACUCCGAAACUGCAUUCGAUACUGCCGUGCUUGAGGACUGGAGAGGAGACUGGAAUUUACGGUGUAGCGGUGAAAUGCGUAGAUAUCGUAAGGAAGACCAGUGGCGAAGGCGGGUCUCUGGACAGUUCCUGACGCUGAGGCACGAAGGGCAGGGGAGCAAACGGG